GGCGAGGUAGCUCAGAUGGUUAGAGCGCAGGAUUCAUAACCCUGAGGUCACGGGUUCAACUCCCGUUCUCGCUA
rnacentral:tRNA from 1 species